UCGUUACAGCUAUGAAGUGUUUAUCUUUACACGCAAACAUACAAUCCCUUUGAAGGACAUUAGUUGAAGCUAAGCGCAGGUUAAUCCUCUCACUCAGCGUGACUUUGACUGAGUGCUGCAGCGUGGCUCAUUCCAGAGGACCAGGGUGAUGUACUGAGGAACGCACUAAAGCUUGGGGCAGCUGCCGCCAAAGCUCAGUGGGGAAAGACCCCCCGUCUAAGGAAGGUCUUUCUGCUGAAGUUAAAUGGGGAUCCAUUCAGUUAUCAAACUCUCCCAACACCUUAAAUAUGUGUAAAUAUAUUCCUGUGCAACUGCUGUGCUGAAUGGAACUGCUUCAGAGACUGUGUAUGCAUACAAAAAUGUUUUUGGAACAAAAAGACGUGAUGUGGCAGCAAGUUUGAGUGAGUGACUCCCUGUGGUAGGCGAGGCUGUUCAGCCGAACUCUAUCCCUUUCGCCAUUUCUUUCUCAGUUCGGUUCCUCGGCUCUGUGAAGCGAAACGAUUUGAAGUAAAAGAGAUAACAAGGUGCAGAGCUGGAUGAACACAGCAGGUCAAGCAGCAUCAGAGGAGCAGGAAAGCUGACAUUUCGGGUCGAGACCCUUCUUCAGAAAAUACCUUGAAGUAUACCUUGUAGUAAACGAUUUGACGUAAACAUGGCCAGCGUCGAUGUCAGCGCCGCGGUACUGAAGCACUCUGUGUCCAUAAGUGUGAGCAUUGAACAACAUUCAGGUUUGGGUGGAUAAUUGGCAGCUCAGGAAAGAUGGCUUUGUUAAAAUCGAUGGAUUUCUCACAGAAGAUGAAUGUGACUCCCUGAGAAAGCGGAUAUUAGAGAUUAUUGAUGAGAUGGAUGUCGCCAAAGAGCUUCGCACCGAAUUCACAACGCAAGCAUCGGAGCAGCUUAAAGCACAGGGGAGCAAAGAGUACUUCUUGACUAGUGGGGACAAAGUCCGAUUCUUUUUUGAAGAAGGAGUGUUUGAUAGCAAAGGCAACUUUCUUAUACCAAAGGAGAAGUCUUUGAAUAAAAUUGGCCAUGCUCUUCAUGCCUUGGAGCCUGUAUUCAAAAAUAUCACCCAUUCACUGAAAGUGCAGGAGAUAGCCCAGAAGUUGGAUCUAAAGGAACCGGUCAUUGUGCAAAGCAUGUACAUCUUCAAGCAACCACAAAUUGGUGGUGAAGUGACCCCUCAUCAGGAUGCCACAUUUCUAUGUACAGAACCUCUCGGGCGUAUUAUAGGGUUUUGGAUUGCACUGGAGGAUGCGACUGAGGAGAAUAGCUGUCUUUGGUUCAUUCCUGGUUCCCACACAGCUGGUAUUACCCGGAGGAUGUUACGUGCCCCUAAAGGAGAAUAUCCUUUGCUCAAAUUUGUUGGAAAGCAACCUGAUUAUCGAGAUGAUCAAUUUAUCCCUGUUCCUGUUAAAAAAGGUGGUCUUAUCCUUAUUCAUGGAGAAGUUGUGCACAGAAGUGCUCGAAACACAUCAAAUAAAUCACGGCAUGUUUAUACCUUCCACCUGAUGGAAUCCCAGGAUAGUCACUGGAGUGAGGAGAACUGUCAGUCUGUUACCAGCUUCUCAAAGGUCUAUUCAUCAAGAUGGUACUUGGUCAAUAGGAACAGAGUAUGCUGCAGUGAAAUGUGCCAUCUCCUGCCUGGGUUGAGUUAGAAGACUCUUUCGGUGAAUAUUGAAGGGAUGCAUUCUCCCUCCUGGACUUCAUUUUGAUGAUCCUAACAAGUGGUUGCAGCCAACUCCAGAACUACCAUUCCCAUUUUUAUACUCUUCACCUCCAUCUUUUUAACCAGAGCCAGUGCAAUACAGAAAUACAUUAUGUGUUCAGGUGUAAUGUAUUCUGCUGUUAGCUGUAAUGAAUAAUAUUUUAGAUUGUGAUGACAAUAUAUUUACAAAAUAAAUCUCAUUAUGAUGAACUAUUUUUCAGUGGCGUGCUCAUGGAUUUAAGUAAAUUGUAACCCUCUGCAACUGUCUUUUUGCAUCCUUCCUACUCUUACUGUGAUUUGUAUUGACCUCACAUUUUACCUAUUCUGGAAUAAAUUUGCAAUUCAUC